UAUAUGUUAGUGUUUUAGCACAAAGAAUUUUGAUUUCUUUAGAAAUGAUAAUAUCAUUAUAUAUAA
rnacentral:tRNA from 1 species